UACGUGGGGGCCGAGCGUUGUCCGGAGUUACUGGGCGUAAAGGGCGCGCAGGCGGCGGCGUGGGUCCGGCGUGAAAGCCCCCGGCUCAACCGGGGAAGGUCGUCGGGGACCGCGCCGCUUGAGGGCGGCAGGGGCCGGUGGAAUGCCUGGUGUAGUGGUGAAAUGCGUAGAGAUCAGGCGGAACACCCGUGGCGAAGGCGGCCGGCUGGGCCGUCCCUGACGCUGAGGCGCGAAGGCGUGGGGAGCGAACGGG
rnacentral:rRNA from 1 species